rnacentral:tRNA from 6 species
AGGCGAGUAGCUCAAUUGGUAGAGUACCGGUCUCCAAAACCGGGGGUUGUGGGUUCGAGACCCCCCUCGCCUGCCA